GGUGUUGGUGUUUGGAACAGAGAGCAUUCCGUUGCCUUUGACCUGGGAUUCGCCCAUUAGAACGGCUGGACAACUUGACCUUGGUGACUUGAAGGACCCGACUCCCCUCGUGGUGCAUGUUGUCAUUAAAAGAUCAGGACUAAAGGUGCUAAAUGGUGCUUGGUUCCGGGAGCAUUUCAUUGGCUUUGAACUGCGAUUCCUCCAUUAGAACGGCUGGAUAACUUGACCUUGGUGACUUGAUGGACCUGACUGCUUGUGGCAUACGUUGUCAUUGCAAAGAUCAGGACUGAGGGUGUUGGUGCUUAGCAGCGGUGUGGCAGAGGAGAAAUUAUGAACCUGCACCACAGGAGCCGAGAACUGGAGGUGGGCAAACUGGUCCGACUCUACAGCCGGCAGCGGAGGAAGGGGUGCUGCGCGAAACUGGACAGCCGCUGGGUAGGCCACGGUCAAGUGCUGGAGCGACUUGGGGAGGUGAUGUACCACACAGCAACCCCCCCUCCACACGCCCCAUGACCACACGACCAUUAGCCACACCUGACCACGGAUACACGUUUGCGGACACCCCCACACACAGUCCCCCCUUUCCCCUCCUUACACAGGACACACCGACACAGUCAAAUGCAGAGCAGCCACCAACCAGGGGUAACAGACAUG